rnacentral:rRNA from 1 species
AUUGAACGCUGGCGGCAGGCCUAACACAUGCAAGUCGAGCGGAUGAAGGGAGCUUGCUCCUGGAUUCAGCGGCGGACGGGUGAGUAAUGCCUAGGAAUCUGCCUGGUAGUGGGGGAUAACGUCCGGAAACGGGCGCUAAUACCGCAUACGUCCUGAGGGAGAAAGUGGGGGAUCUUCAGACCUCACGCUAUCAGAUGAGCCUAGGUCGGAUUAGCUAGUUGGUGGGGUAAAGGCCUACCAAGGCGACGAUCCGUAACUGGUCUGAGAGGAUGAUCAGUCACACUGGAACUGAGACACGGUCCAGACUCCUACGGGAGGCAGCAGUGGGGAAUAUUGGACAAUGGGCGAAAGCCUGAUCCAGCCAUGCCGCGUGUGUGAAGAAGGUCUUCGGAUUGUAAAGCACUUUAAGUUGGGAGGAAGGGCGGUAAGUUAAUACCUUGCUGUUUUGACGUUACCAACAGAAUAAGCACCGGCUAACUUCGUG